ensembl:snoRNA
UUCGUUGUUGUCAAUGAUGUAUUGUUGGAACUGAAUCUAAGUGAUCCGACUCUAUUCGUCACUACCACUGAGACAAUGACGAG